AAAUAAUUUAUAAUUGUUAAGCUCAUUAGUCAGCUAAGACCCAUUCUAGUAUCAUUGUAAAAAAUUAUUAUGCCAAGCUCUUCAUUAUCCUUCCUUACAUAAGAGCAUUCCUCACACAUUUAGUUGGCACCAAACAUCUCAAACCUAAGUUCUCAGAAAUCAAAUGCUGCAUUAAGAUCACUUUACUAGAUCUACAAAAGAUAUGAGAAAACUCUUAGCAGAUUUAAAACAUGGGAUAUUAGGAGUUAUAUUGGAGGCUGCUAUGUUACUGACCAAAUAUGAAGCAGGAAAAAAUAAGGAGUCACAUAACAGGUAAUAAUAAAAGGAAAGCAGCAAGAAAAGACAUCCAUAGCAGCAGGAGAGUUAAUUAGAAAAGCUGCCUUGUGAGAAAAGAGAUUGAAUAGAACUCGCUAUUUCUGAAUCAGUAAAACUGUAGGAACUGAAGGGAUGGAGGAACAACAAAUCAAGAAGUCAAGAAAGUACAAUGUGGGUAUGCUAGAAGAGAAGAUAUAAGAAAAGAAAAAGCACAGGGGAAACUGAUUUGCCCAUGAAGCAGGGGGUUAUAAAAACAUAAAUCAAAAACUGAAAAACGUAUUUUUUUUCAGUUUUGGUAAAAAUUAAAAUUUAAUACAUCACAGAUUAUUUAAUAAAUCUUGACAAGAAAGAACCUACAAGUAUUAUGAAUGUUCAAAAAAAAGUUGUAGGUAAAAGAUGUUUAUGUUUUAUGACCACAGGAUCACAGUGAAUAACAACAACAAAAAGUUAAGUGACAGGAUAGGCUGAAAGAAAAAAGUUACUUAAAUUCUCGCUGUAUUUACUGAGGAAAAAGAAGUUUCCUUGGAUCUUUAAUAUUAAUUUAUAGACUUCUUCCUAAGAUAUUUGCUAUUAACUACAAAAUCACUAUUAAUCUUAUAGAAAUAGUAGCCCUUUUGCACCAAAGAAUGUGAUAAAUAUAAAAGAUUGAAAAUUAGUGUAUUGGGGAUGGGGAUGUAGCUCAGUGAUAGUGUUUCCCUACCAUGUGCAAGGCUCAGGGUUCAAUAACUAGCACUGCUUAAAAAAAAAAAUACAACAGUAACAAAAUAGCAUAUUACUGUUCAUUUAAAUGACAGAAUUCAUCAUAUGUAGAAAAUUGAAUUGGUUUAAUUACAUUAUAAAUUCAUUCACUGGCUCUGUUUAAG
rnacentral:lncRNA from 1 species